rnacentral:rRNA from 1 species
CGAGUGACACUGCGCCGAAAAUGUACCGGGGCUAAACAUAUUACCGAAGCUGUGGAUUGUCCUUUGGACAAUGGUAGGAGAGCGUUCUAAGGGCGUUGAAGCAUGAUCGUAAGGACAUGUGGAGCGCUUAGAAGUGAGAAUGCCGGUGUGAGUAGCGAAAGACGGGUGAGAAUCCCGUCCACCGAUUGACUAAGGUUUCCAGAGGAAGGCUCGUCCGCUCUGGGUUAGUCGGGUCCUAAGCUGAGGCCGACAGGCGUAGGCGAUGGAUAACAGGUUGAUAUUCCUGUACCACCUAUAAUCGUUUUAAUCGAUGGGGGGACGCAGUAGGAUAGGCGAAGCGUGCGAUUGGAUUGCACGUCUAAGCAGUAAGGCUGAGUAUUAGGCAAAUCCGGUACUCGUUAAGGCUGAGCUGUGAUGGGGAGAAGACAUUGUGUCUUCGAGUCGUUGAUUUCACACUGCCGAGAAAAGCCUCUAGAUAGAAAAUAGGUGCCCGUACCGCAAACCGACACAGGUAGUCAAGAUGAGAAUUCUAAGGUGAGCGAGCGAACUCUCGUUAAGGAACUCGGCAAAAUGACCCCGUAACUUCGGGAGAAGGGGUGCUCUUUAGGGUUAACGCCCAGAAGAGCCGCAGUGAAUAGGCCCAAGCGACUGUUUAUCAAAAACACAGGUCUCUGCUAAACCGUAAGGUGAUGUAUAGGGGCUGACGCCUGCCCGGUGCUGGAAGGUUAAGAGGAGUGGUUAGCUUCUGCGAAGCUACGAAUCGAAGCCCCAGUAAACGGCGGCCGUAACUAUAACGGUCCUAAGGUAGCGAAAUUCCUUGUCGGGUAAGUUCCGACCCGCACGAAAGGCGUAACGAUUUGGGCACUGUCUCAACGAGAGACUCGGUGAAAUCAUAGUACCUGUGAAGAUGCAGGUUACCCGCGACAGGACGGAAAGACCCCGUGGAGCUUUACUGUAGCCUGAUAUUGAAAUUCGGCACAGCUUGUACAGGAUAGGUAGGAGCCUUUGAAACGUGAGCGCUAGCUUACGUGGAGGCGCUGGUGGGAUACUACCCUAGCUGUGUUGGCUUUCUAACCCGCACCACUUAUCGUGGUGGGAGACAGUGUCAGGCGGGCAGUUUGACUGGGGCGGUCGCCUCCUAAAAGGUAACGGAGGCGCUCAAAGGUUCCCUCAGAAUGGUUGGAAAUCAUUCAUAGAGUGUAAAGGCAUAAGGGAGCUUGACUGCGAGACCUACAAGUCGAGCAGGGUCGAAAGACGGACUUAGUGAUCCGGUGGUUCCGCAUGGAAGGGCCAUCGCUCAACGGAUAAAAGCUACCCCGGGGAUAACAGGCUUAUCUCCCCCAAGAGUUCACAUCGACGGGGAGGUUUGGCACCUCGAUGUCGGCUCAUCGCAUCCUGGGGCUGUAGUCGGUCCCAAGGGUUGGGCUGUUCGCCCAUUAAAGCGGUACGCGAGCUGGGUUCAGAACGUCGUGAGACAGUUCGGUCCCUAUCCGUCGUGGGCGUAGGAAAUUUGAGAGGAGCUGUCCUUAGUACGAGAGGACCGGGAUGGACAUACCUCUGGUGUACCAGUUGUCGUGCCAACGGCAUAGCUGGGUAGCUAUGUGUGGACGGGAUAAGUGCUGAAAGCAUCUAAGCAUGAAGCCCCCCUCAAGAUGAGAUUUCCC